CAACGUUCUCAGGGCAGGGUGAAAGUCCCUACCGGCGGUGAAGGCGUCUGACGCACGAGCCCGCGAGCGCCCGGCAUGGCCACAUGCCGGGGUCAGCAGAUUCGGUUCAAAUCCGAAGCCGACGGUGAUAGUCCGGAUGAAAGAGAGCGAGC
rnacentral:ncRNA from 1 species